CCUCGUCGUUUGGGCUACAUAGCACGGCGUCGUGAACGCGAUGAGCGCUUUGACAUCGCACUGAGACUGCUGCGGCCUCGUGUGGUGGCGAAAUUGCUGUGUAUUGAGGAAAACAUAUUUGCAUGCUCAUGUAGGUUGCGCUCUCAGUCAUAAAUCGGCGAGAUAACCAGAGAUUCAUGUGUACUCGCUCACCAAUAUUUUCGCAGGCCAUGUACUCACUCACACUCGUCGGUAGUAACUCACGUCCCUACUCUCGCCCACUCGUCCUCACCGUCACUCACUCGCGUCCAUAGUCCCUUGCAUUUACACUUACCGGCACACCCCAGUCAAGCUCACAGUAAUGCAUAUGCUCCCACUCACCGGCACUGAAUCGCAUGCAUGCUCACGUACGCUCACAUUCACGAGCAGUUACUGGCGCUUAUACUCACGUCCUAUCAAACUCAUCAGCACCCACUUCAACUCAUAACUGUGGUACCGCCGCUCACCCUUGUCCGUACUCACUUCCAUUGACACUCUUCGUAACUCACUAAUGCUGUAUCCCACGCCUGUUAAUUAGUGUGUACGGUGUAUGAGUGAGCGUACUCGUCAGUGAGUACGCCAACCUAUCCUCUCGGUGGACAUUUAUCGGCAAAACGUGUGGGUUCGACUCCCACCUGCAGUAAGUUGUAUUUUGGUCCACUUUCAUUUUCAUUUUCCUCGGAGAGGUAGAGACAGAGCGAAAUAUAUAAAUACAUUUAUUCACAGAAAGGCAGAGAAGUAGGCCUGGGCCAUAGCUUGCUAGGGCCUGCUACUUUACACUGGGGCUUUUUCUCGACAUUUAUGCAUCUCGGUUAAGCAUGAAAAUGAAUUUCCCCAAUGCUAUCUCUUGCUUUAUUGCCUAUUUUUGUUCAUGUAAUAUCUACAAACAAAGAAAUUGAGCCCCUCGCAUCGACUGAUUAUUCCAACUCAGCUGUUGAGAGAGGCUUUCCCUUAGGCGGUCCUAUCUAAAUACAUGUACAUGGUAAGGCAGACAUCGUUUUCUUGUAUAUCCAUUGGACUGAUUCGAUAAGGCUGAAUCGAAAAGAAAGAAGUUGGAACGUACCGUUAUUAGGGAGCAUAUUUUUUAUCUGGGCUAAUAAUUUCUACGCACCAAAUUUCGAAGACUAGAAAAGGUGUCUAGCUUGUGCAACUCCGCAUAAAAAAAUAAUGUUCAAUAAUAACAUAAAUUCGGGGAUUCGACAUACCAAAACCACGAUGUGAUUAUGGGACACGUCUUACUGAGGGACUGCUGAUUAGUUUUAACCGCUUGCGGUUCUUUAACAUGCACCUAGUGCACGAUGUACAGUCGACCGAUUCUUUAACAAUACCACGCGGGCGUCGACUUGGCCAACCGGCCAGAGCCUUCUAACGGUGCGAAGCGACGAGAUCAGCAGUAGCGCAUGCGCACCAAGUUCACUCAAAGUACAAGGUUAAUCUGAUUGCCUCUUCCUACCAGCAUGACACAGCCUCUGGUACGAUUAAUUAGGCGCAAGCUUCCCGCCUUAUUGGAGAUAGCAGGAGCGUAUGCCCCUGGCUUACGUCCUUUUUUAGAGCACAGCUCUUUGGCUGCCGUUCCUGUGGCGAGCGUCGGCGGCGCCGUAACAGAGCGAACGAGCGCAGCGAAAGAUGAAAGCGAACGCGGAGCGCAGCGGGGGAUGAAAAACGCGAGGAGGAAAGCGGAGAGGAGGGUGCAGCGAACCAUGAGGUGGAAAGCGGAAGAAGGUAUGGCGGAAGCCUUUACAACACCGCAGUGCGGCGACGACGGCUACGAGAUGGCGCCAGAGUAGCGCGCGUCGUCUGGGAGGUCUGUCGACAGCAGCUGCUGUCACCCACGCGUAACCAACGCGAUGGCUCUCGCGGUCUCCAGAUUAGUUAAGCAGUCGCGCCACCCUUCGCUCCGUUUGCAACGUACCGGACGAGACAGCAAAUAUAUCGCGAAAUGAAAACACAUAUAAGAUUGCGCUAAAAUUUCGCAUUAAGGAGUAUCAUAAUCGUCAGUGAAUUUUUUAGCGUGUGCUGGUCUAGUAUGCAUGCACAGGAAAAUAAUGAACAAAACCUGCGAAGUUGCAAUGUAUCUGUAUCAUAUCAUAUUGCGAAAAUUGCCAUAGCACACUAGACGUACAUCACUUGCUCUGGCCGUGUGGUCGGACCCACGCAAACAAGGAUCAAGACUCCGCCAGGCUACAAGAAGCAUUACGCAGCAUGAACCUGGCGCAGCAGCUCUGGGCCGUCCAGCGAGCCCACGAUGCGGCCAGGGUGUUACAACUCUCGGUCCCAACGUGGGAGUAGCCCGCUCUAUGGGACCUUGCGUCCCGUAGCUCGCAGGACCUUUCAUUAAAGCUAUUCCAUCCAUCCAUAUCUUUUUUGCGCGCUUUCUUCUUUAUCUUACGGUGCAUAUACAGAAGGGUGCGUACAUAUGUUCAGGAUCCUUAAUAAAAUCUUAGUUGAAAAUUA
rnacentral:lncRNA from 1 species